rnacentral:lncRNA from 1 species
CUUUUUUUUUUUUUUUUUUUUUUUUUGAGACAGAGUCUCACUCUGUCACCUAGACUCAAGGGCAAUGAUACAAUCCUGGCUCACUACAACCUCUGCCUCCCGAGUUCAAGUAAUUCUUGUGCCUCAGCCUCCCCAGUAGCUGGGAUUACAGGUGCCUGCCACCACACCCGGCUAAUCUUUGUAUUUUUUUUUUUUUUUAGUAAAGACAGGUUUUCACCAUGUUGGCCAGGCUUGUCUCAAACUCUUGGGCUCAAGUGAUCCGCCCGCCUCAGCCUCCCAAAGUGCUGGGAUUACAGGGUGAGCCACCGUGCCAGGCCCAAAUUUCUUUUGGAUACUUUUGCUGGCAUAGUAUCAAUAAAGCCACCCAUCCCGACCCCAGGCCUCUUUGUAGAUAUUGCAGCAAGAAAAUCAGCUGACCCUUCAACCACAAGGAUCUGUUUAAAUGAGCAGUAGGAAGUUUCCAGCUUUACCCAGUAAACAAGUGAAUGGGAAACCUAAGGUAUUAAAAUCUGACCUUUCUAUCCGAUGACAAACUCAUUUCCAGUCUGUGAACUCCUGGACAAAGCAAACUAACCACUGAAAAACUCGAAAAUAGGGCAAGACGACAUUAACCUUGUGAAAGUCUGCUUUGAAAAAAGGCAUUCUGUCAAGCUGUGUAUUUUUUUCUUGAUUAUUCAAAUUUAUUUCGUUAUUCAAAUUUAAUUCAGAAAAUAGCUCAGUUGGUUUCAGGGGGAAUGGGGUGGGAGGGGUUUGGGCACAUAAAUUUAUGAUGAUAAUUUUAAAUGUACGAUCAUUAAGUUGUAUGCCUCAGUACUAUAACAGGUGAAUCUCUGUAAUAUUGACUAAACAGUUAAAAGAUAUUUUGUAAAUUUCAGGUCCAUCGCAUCAAUGCAUGAAAUAUUAGAAAACCAAAUUCCAAAGAAUCAGGAAUUUCCAUUUCCACCCAAAGUAUACUUUAUUAUCUUCUAGCAGUUGUCUGUUAAUAUAAAAGCAGCAAAAUCUCAGCUACUUAUAUAAUUUUCUCCUUUUAUUUGAAAGUUACACUUAGAGAUUAAUAAUAUGUACAGAGAAGCUUUUCCUGCCUACUCUGUUUAUAACUCUGUCCAACUUGCCCACAAACACUGCCCUCCUUCAACCCAUCUGAUGUGGGCAAAGCCACUGUUUUCUUAGGCCCAUAACUCAGUGCAGCUGUUUUAUUUUUAUAAUGCCGGUCAACCUUUUUGUGUGUGUGUGUGUGUGUGUGUGUGUGUGUGUGUGUGUGUGUGUGUGUGUCUACGAUGUGCUUAUUUAAUAAUUGCCAAAAUAUUUAGACUAGAGUAACUUCCGGUGGGUCAAUUGGAUUGUGACUUUCUUUUGUGGUUUUUUGGUUCUUCGAUUGCUCUCUGUUAAAUAUUUUCAUAAUUCCCCCCACAGAAUACGUGUGUAUAUACUGCAACUUAAAAACUAAAAGCAGUACUCGAAUGAGUUGUUUUAAUGUUGUACUUUUAUCUGUUUGUUUUAUGGGUUCUCCUGCUGCCUAAUGACCUUUCUGUUUUUAUAACUGCCGGAAAGCCGCGAAGCCUCUCGCAUGGGGAGCUAGGUCCCCGCUGCGGCUCCGCACUUGAGUUUAUUAUAAACUCUGGGGUUCUGAGUAAGUUUUGUUUGAAUACAGCAACAUGAUUGUCUCUUUCUAUUCUUAUCCUAAAAGACUCUGUCUGGCAUCUUUUAGUUGUACCCUCGUAUCUGCUUCUCUAAUAAAUGUUAUAUUUUUUCUCAGUA